ACGACUCCCAGCAGUGACACCUGUGAGUCCACUUCUGCGCUGCUGCUCAACUCCACCGCCAAGUUCCACUUGAACGUGAUGACAGCAGAAGAAUACAAGACGGUUUACUGGCCAAAACUUGAGCGAGCCAUUGAGCAUCUGCUCACUCAAAGCCCGAUGGACCACAUCUCCAUCUCAUACGAACAGAUCUACAGUCAGGUUUAUAAGUGUGUGUGCCAGCAGCACUCGGAGCUGCUCUACAACGAUCUGAUGUGGAAGAUCAGGUCUCAUCUAGAGCAAGUGU